AUGUAGCUACUGGACAUGCAUUAUAACCGCCGUGCUUCCCGUUUUGUAUACAUCAGUCUUGCUUCUUUCUAUAAAUAAUGAAACGUGAGAAUUAAAAUAGCAAUUAUAAUGGGUCUCUUUGAUCUCUUUGAAUUAAGAAAAUCUGCGUUUAGUCAAACAUAUGCAGCAUAAACGCAGAUCCUGUAGGGAAUGAAAGGUGAAGAUAACAAACAGUGAUCAAUUUCAUAACUCCUAUAGGAAAUACAAAAUAGAUAGUUUGGCAAACACUGUUUAAAAAGAAUCUGAUUCUUUCCCAAUUUUGAAAUUACUUUCGGUGAAAUCAGUGACUUUUCCUUCAUAGUCUAGCUUACUGAUCCGAUUGUGUCUCAAGAUGAAGGCAGGUCAGUGAUUCUUUCACUAAGUGUGUUGUUAUCAUUGUAAAUAAUUUAUUUAAGAAGGUUAUCGGUGACCUUACUGAUUAUUACGCCAUACAUCGCAGAUGUAACGCGAUCGAGUAUGAAGAUAUAUCUUUCAAAAGAUAUUAAUUCUUACCAAUUUUAUACAAUCUAUAGUGAGUUGGAGGAGUUUAUGCAUUAUAAAGCAAUUCAUAAUAAUAUGUUUUUCUAUCAGAAAACGCUCCGUUUUACAAACGGAACUAAAAUCUGACUGAUAUAGACUUAUUUUUUAAAUAAUGAUUAGAAUUGUAAUAGCGAUAUAUUUUCAACCUGUCCAUAAAGAUGCAAACCGAUUUUGUUAAGCUGGAGCCUGAACAUCCGGCACGUG